rnacentral:rRNA from 1 species
CCAACAGGGAUUGCYUUAGUAGCGGCGAGUGAAGCGGCAAAAGCUCAAAUUUGAAAUCUGGCGCCUUCGGUGUCCGAGUUGUAAUUUGAAGAUUGUAACCUUGGGGUUGGCUCUUGUCUAUGUUUCUUGGAACAGGACGUCACAGAGGGUGAGAAUCCCGUGCGAUGAGAUGCCCAAUUCUAUGUAAGGUGCUUUCGAAGAGUCGAGUUGUUUGGGAAUGCAGCUCUAAGUGGGUGGUAAAUUCCAUCUAAAGCUAAAUAUUGGCGAGAGACCGAUAGCGAACAAGUACAGUGAUGGAAAGAUGAAAAGAACUUUGAAAAGAGAGUGAAAAAGUACGUGAAAUUGUUGAAAGGGAAGGGUUUGAGAUCAGACUCGAUAUUUUGUGAGCCUUGCCUUCGUGGCGGGGUGACCCGCAGCUUAUCGGGCCAGCAUCGGUUUGGGCGGUAGGAUAAUGGCGUAGGAAUGUGACUUUACUUCGGUGAAGUGUUAUAGCCUGCGUUGAUGCUGCCUGCCUAGACCGAGGACUGCGAUUUUAUCAAGGAUGCUGGCAUAAUGAUCCCAAACCGCCCGUCUUGAAACACGGACCAAGGAGUCUAACGUCUAUGCGAGUGUUUGGGUGUUAAACCCGUACGCGUAAUGAAAGUGAACGUAGGUGAGGGCUCUUUUGAGUGCAUCAUCGACCGAUCCUGAUGUCUUCGGAUGGAUUUGAGUAAGAGCAUAGCUGUUGGGACCCGAAAGAUGGUGAACUAUACCUGAAUAGGGUGAAGCCAGAGGAAACUCUGGUGGAGGCUCGUAGCGG